GAUGAACGCUAGCGGCAGGCUUAAUACAUGCAAGUCGAGGGGCAGCAGGACGGUAGCAAUACCGUUGCUGGCGACCGGCAAACGGGUGCGGAACACGUACGCAACCUACCCAUAACUGGGGGAUAGCACGGGGAAACCCGGAUUAAUACCUCGUAACCUUAUGAAGUGGCAUCGCUUUACAAGUAUAGCCCAGGCGGUUAUGGAUGGGCGUGCGCCUGAUUAGGUAGUUGGCGGGGUAACGGGCCACCAAGCCGGCGAGCAGGAACUGGUGGGAGGGCACGACCAGUCACACGGGCACUGAGACACGGGCCCGACUCCUACGGGAGGCAGCAGUAAGGAAUAUUGGUCAAUGGACGCAAGUCUGAACCAGCCAUGCCGCGUGAAGGAUGAAGGUCCUCUGGAUUGUAAACUUCUUUUAUAGGGGAAGAAAUCUGAAUAUUCCUAUUCAGUUGACGGUACCCUAGGAAUAAGCACCGGCUAACUCCGUGCCAGCCGCCGCCGUAACAC
rnacentral:rRNA from 1 species